rnacentral:rRNA from 1 species
UUUAUGGAGAGUUUGAUCCUGGCUCAGGACGAACGCUGGCGGCGUGCCUAAUACAUGCAAGUCGAGCGGACCUUAUAAGAGCUUGCUCUUAUAAGGUUAGCGGCGGACG